rnacentral:precursor_RNA from 15 species
UUUCCUAUCCUUUAACCUCCAGGUGCCCGAUUGUGUAGAGGUAAGAAAUAUGCUGUGUUCUCGCUUGGUAUAUUUCUUGCCUCUACCAAUUGAGCAUCUAGGACUUCGCAGCUGUCCCCUG